UACGUAGGAUGCAAGCGUUGUCCGAAUUUAUUGGGUUUAACGGGUGCGUAGGCGGCUUAUUAAGUUAGUGGUGAAAACGUUCGGCUUAACCGGAUACCCGCCAUUGAUACUGAUAGACUUGAGUGCGACAGAGGGUGUUGGAAUGUGUGGUGUAGCGGUGAAAUGCUUAGAUAUCCCGCAGAACACCAAUUGCGAAGGCAGAUGCCUAUGUCGUAACUGACGCUGAGGCACGAAAGCGUGGGGAGCAAACAGG
rnacentral:rRNA from 1 species